AUUUGCUUCAUUUAAUUAACGAAUUAUCGGAUUCGGAUCUUGUCUAGUUAUAGGUCUGAGACCCUAAAUCUACAGCCCAUUAAUUUCAUUGAUUCGCAUCGUAUCUGGAUCAAAAUCCAAUCCAUUGACAGCCUUAGUUGUUACGCUCCUUUUUCUAUUGCCCUAACUUCUUCUCUAUAGAAAGAGACAUGUACAUGAGUUUUGAUCUGUAGUAAUUUAUAUUUACUGAUAAAAAGGAGAGAGAGACAUGUCUUAGUUUACGGAUGUCCUCGAAUAUCGGCCCUAAUUUUUUUUUCUUGGAUUUCCUCUCUUUCUCGUUCCUUUUUCAAUUAUUCAUUCUCAAAUUGCUUGUUCCAUUUUCAAUUUUUAGUUGUCAAAUUGUUACCUUCCUAAGUCACUUCAGUUAUAAGGCCGUUUAUGAUAUGUUGUGGAGUGUGGACUAUAGUUUAUGCAUGGUACAACAUGGAACAAAUUGAAUUUCAUGAGACAUUUCAAAUUUAUCUGCAAGUGAAGUCUUAAAACUACAACUUAAGCUCUGAAAGGGUUGAUGUGGUUGAUGUGAGACUGUGAGUUUUAUGUUUUUGAUAGUAUUAGCAAUUCUUUGGAGUUUUCAAGAAGAAAUUAUAUCAAAUUGACAGUGUUCAAUACAUAAAACAAUGAGAAAAGAAG
rnacentral:lncRNA from 1 species